rnacentral:rRNA from 1 species
UUCCCCUACGGGACGCAGCAGUAGGGAAUUUUCGUCAAUGGGCGCAAGCCUGAACGAGCAAUGCCGCGUGAACGAGGAAGGUCUUCGGAUCGUAAAGUUCUGUUGAAGGGGAAAAAGAGCGGAGAGAGGAAAUGGUCUCCGAUUGAUAUUACCCUUCGAGGAAGUCACGGCUAACUACGUGCCAGCAGCCGCGGUAAUACGUAGGAGGCGAGCGUUAUCCGGAAUGAUUGGGCGUAAAGGGUGCGUAGGCGGCCUGCUAAGUCUGGAGUGGAAGGUACCGGCUCAACCGGUACAGGGCUCGGAAA